AACGAACGCUGGCGGCAGGCUUAACACAUGCAAGUCGAGCGCCCCGCAAGGGGAGCGGCAGACGGGUGAGUAACGCGUGGGAAUCUACCGAGCCCUGCGGAAUAGCUCCGGGAAACUGGAAUUAAUACCGCAUACGCCUACGGGGAAGAUUAUCGGGUUUGGAUGAGCCCGCGUUGGAUUAGCUAGUUGGUGGGGUAAAG
rnacentral:rRNA from 1 species